GCUCAGGUAGCCUAGUGUUUAGAGCAUCCGCCUCGGAUGCGGGAGGUCGAAGGUUCAAUCCCCGGUGGACU